ACUUAUCCCUGUGAUUGAUGCCACUUGGGUAUAAUGGCAUUCUAAUAUUUGGGAAAGAAAUCCAGGUUCCCAAUCUAUCCUAAUUUUUUAAUGAUGUAUAAUUUAUGGCAGGAUAUUGGGAAUAUAUUAUAUCACCCCACCCCCUUUUUUCCUUACUAUAGGAUUGGGUGUACAUUUAUUCUAAUCGGCUAUCUUUUGAAAUAAGCUAUCAACAAGAAUCACACAGUGAAC